UACAGAGGCCUCGAGCGUUAGGCGGAAUCACUGGGCUUAAAGCGUGUGUAGGCGGCUUUGCAAGUCGGGUGUGAAAGCCCUCAGCUUAACUGAGGAAGUGCGCCCGAAACUGCAUGGCUUGAGUACCGGAGAGGAUGGUGGAAUUCCCGAAGUAGAGGUGAAAUUCGUAGAUAUCGGGAGGAACACCGGUGGCGAAGGCGACCAUCUGGACGGAUACUGACGCUGAGACGCGAAAGCGUGGGUAGCAAACAGG
rnacentral:rRNA from 1 species